GAUGAACGCUGGCGGCGUGCCUAAUACAUGCAAGUCGAGCGAAUGGAUUAAGAGCUUGCUCUUAUGAAGUUAGCGGCGGACGGGUGAGUAACACGUGGGUAACCUGCCCAUAAGAUUGGGAUAACUCCGGGAAACCGGGGCUAAUACCGGAUAACAUUUUGAACCGCAUGGUUCGAAAUUGAAAGGCGGCUUCGGCUGUCACUUAUGGAUGGACCCGCGUCGCAUUAGCUAGUUGGUGAGGUAACGGCUCACCAAGGCAACGAUGCGUAGCCGACCUGGGGGGGUGAUCGACCGCACUGGGACUGAGACACGGCCAAGAUUCCUACGGGAGGCAGCAGUAGGGAAUCGUCCGCAAUAGACGAAAGUCUGACGGAGCAACGCCGCGUGAGUGAUGAAGGCUUUCGGGUCGUAAAACUCUGUUGUUAGGGAAGAACAAGUGCUAGUUGAAUAAGCUGGCACCUUGACGGUACCUAACCAGAAAGCCACGGCUAACUACGUGCCAGCCGCCGCCGUAA
rnacentral:rRNA from 1 species